AAAAACAAAAUUGUUUGAAUAAAGUUCUUGGAUAGAUUAGAAGGUAACACAUGCAAUUUUUUAGAUUGGAGUAAGAACUAUAUCCUCUAAAUUAAUCAAUAGCGAAUCGAGAUUCCUUGUUUGGUCCAGAGCGCAUAUGUGGCCAUGUCUUUUCUUCUCUUGGUGUUAAAUAACGCCUUAAAAUUUUAAGUGAGGAAGAGAAAUGAAAUAUAUUUCGAGACUAGUAAAAUGAAA
rnacentral:lncRNA from 1 species